AGCAGCCGCGGUAAUUCCAGCUCCAAUAGCGUAUAUUAAAGUUGUUGCAGUUAAAAAGCUCGUAGUUGAAUUUCGGGAUCAUCAGGUUGGUCGUGCCUUCGGUAUGUACUUGCUUCGGUGGUCCCUCCUUCUUGAAGAACCGUAAUGACAUUAAUUUGUUGUUGCGGGGAAACAGGACUGUUACUUUGAAAAAUUAGAGUGUUUAAAGCAGGCAAUCGCUUGAAUACAUUAGCAUGGAAUAAUGAAAUAGGACGUUCGAUCCUAUUUUGUUGGUUUCUAGGAUUGACGUAAUGAUUAAUAGGGAUAGUUGGGGGCAUUAGUAUUCAAUUGUCAGAGGUGAAAUUCUUGGAUUUAUUGAAGACUAACUACUGCGAAAGCAUUUGCCAAGGAUGUUUUCAUUAAUCAAGAACGAAAGUUAGGGGAUCGAAGACGAUCAGAUACCGUCGUAGUCCUAACCAUAAACUAUGCCGACUAGGGAUCGGAUGAUGUUAAUUUUUAA
rnacentral:rRNA from 1 species